rnacentral:misc_RNA from 1 species
GUGAAACAGGAAAGUAACAAACAUGAGCACAAAAACAUACCAUGAAGAUACUUAGUCAAAUUACAGAUAUCUCACAAAUCUAUUGGUCAUGAUAUGGGGCCGAAUACGCAUAAAUGCCAUCACCAAGUUGUGAUAUUAUGUAAAGGCAGUAGAGUGAAACAAAACGCAUACAGAUGCUGCAAACUUUUAUCUUAAAUUUUGACUAUGAUUACGGUAAUUAUGAUGCUUAACAAUGCUAUGAUGG